GACGAACGCUGGCGGCGUGCCUAAUACAUGCAAGUCGAGCGGACUGAAUGGGAGCUUGCUCUUGUUCGGUCAGCGGCGGACGGGUGAGUAACACGUGGGCAACCUGCCCGCAAGACCGGGAUAACUCCGGGAAACCGGAGCUAAUACCGGAUAACACCGAAGACCGCAUGGUCUUUGGUUGAAAGGCGGCGCAAUCUGCCACUUGCGGAUGGGCCCGCGGCGCAUUAGCUAGUUGGUGAGGUAACGGCUCACCAAGGCGACGAUGCGUAGCCGGCCUGAGAGGGUGACCGGCCACACUGGGAAUGAGACACGGCCCAGACUCCUACGGGAGGCAGCAGUAGGGAAUCUUCCGCAAGGGGCGAAAGCCUGACGGAGCGACGCCGCGUGAGCGAAGAAGGCCUUCGGGUCGUAAAGCUCUGUUGUGAGGGACGAAGGAGCGCCGUUUGAAGAAGGCGGCGCGGUGACGGUACCUCACGAGGAAGCCCCGGCUAACUACGUG
rnacentral:rRNA from 1 species